rnacentral:rRNA from 1 species
UACGAAGGGGGCUAGCGUUGCUCGGAAUCACUGGGCGUAAAGGGCGCGUAGGCGGCCAAGUAAGUUGGGGGUGAAAGCCCGUGGCUCAACCACGGAAUUGCCUUCGAUACUGCUUGGCUUGAGACCGGAAGAGGUGAGUGGAACUGCGAGUGUAGAGGUGAAAUUCGUAGAUAUUCGGAAGAACACCAGUGGCGAAGGCGACUUACUGGACACAUAUUGACGCUGAGGUGCGAAAGCGUGGGGAGCAAACAGG